GAGAGUUUGAUCCUGGCUCAGGACGAACGCUGGCGGCGUGCCUAAUACAUGCAAGUCGAGCGGACAGAAGGGAGCUUGCUCCCGGAUGUUAGCGGCGGACGGGUGAGUAACACGUGGGUAACCUGCCUGUAAGACUGGGAUAACUCCGAGAAACCGGAGCUAAUACCGGAUAGUUCCUUGAACCGCAUGGUUCAAGGAUGAAAGACGGUUUCGGCUGUCACUUACAGAUGGACCCGCGGCGCAUUAGCUAGUUGGUGGGGUAAUGGCUCACCAAGGCGACGAUGCGUAGCCGACCUGAGAGGGUGAUCGGCCACACUGGGACUGAGACACGGCCCAGACUCCUACGGGAGGCAGCAGUAGGGAAUCUUCCGCAAUGGACGAAAGUCUGACGGAGCAACGCCGCGUGAGUGAUGAAGGUUUUCGGAUCGUAAAGCUCUGUUGUUAGGGAAGAACAAGUGCGAGAGUAACUGCUCGCACCUUGACGGUACCUAACCAGAAAGCCACGGCUAACUACGUGCCAGCAGCCGCGGUAAUACGUAGGUGGCAAGCGUUGUCCGGAAUUAUUGGGCGUAAAGGGCUCGCAGGCGGUUUCUUAAGUCUGAUGUGAAAGCCCCCGGCUCAACCGGGGAGGGUCAUUGGAAACUGGGAAACUUGAGUGCAGAAGAGGAGAGUGGAAUUCCACGUGUAGCGGUGAAAUGCGUAGAGAUGUGGAGGAACACCAGUGGCGAAGGCGACUCUCUGGUCUGUAACUGACGCUGAGGAGCGAAAGCGUGGGGAGCGAACAGGAUUAGAUACCCUGGUAGUCCACGCCGUAAACGAUGAGUGCUAAGUGUUAGGGGGUUUCCGCCCCUUAGUGCUGCAGCUAACGCAUUAAGCACUCCGCCUGGGGAGUACGGUCGCAAGACUGAAACUCAAAGGAAUUGACGGGGGC
rnacentral:rRNA from 1 species